CACCCCUUUGCCCAUUUCCAGGACGAGUGUUUUCUCAUCUUUCAGAACACCUGUGGGAUCAUCUCCUCCCAGUGUGCACUGUCUGGUGGGGGUGUAAUUAAGAUGCCCUCCUCUCUCUUAGCAAAGGUCUGGGUGAGGCCCUCAGAUGCUGAAUGGAUUGACACAAGGACAAGAGGGUCUCUCCCAGGAGACGCAUGAGAUCCUGGAGGCUUCCUUGGUCCCUGCAGAUGAAGAGAGAAGGCUUCCAUCCUCCAGUAUAUCCUGGUUGCUACUGGCAUCAGCACUGCAAAAACCUUGUGUGCCUCAGAAUAUGAAGUGUCCUGCCUUCCAUCCCAGCCCACCCAGACAAGCAACUGAACAAAGUGGAAUAUGGGCUAGUGUUGAGAAGCCAUUCUCAAACCUCCACCAAGGGCUUGCUACAUGACUGGGGACUCCAUGCAAGAAAAUGUGGGGCUCCUCAUUCACAAAAUAGAAAAAGGUAUAAUUAAAGGUAUUAAAAUGUAA
ensembl:lincRNA